CCUACGGGGCGCAGCAGUGGGGAAUAUUGCACAAUGGGGGAAACCCUGAUGCAGCGACGCCGCGUGAGUGAAGAAGUAUUUCGGUAUGUAAAGCUCUAUCAGCAGGGAAGAAAAUGACGGUACUUGAUUAAAAAGCAUCGGCUAACUACGUGCCAGCAGCCGCGGUAAUACGUAGGGGGCGAGCGUUAUCCGGAUUUACUGGGUGUAAAGGGAGCGUAGGCGGCAGUACAAGUCUGGAGUGAAAGGCCGGGGCUUAACCCCGGAACUGCUUUGGAAACUGGGCAGCUAGAGUGCAGGAGAGGUAAGUGGAAUGCGUAGUGUAGCGGUGAAAUGCGUAGAUAUUAGGCGGAACACCAGUGGCGAAGGCGGCUUACUGGACUGUAACUGACGUUGAGGCUCGAAAGCGUGGGGAGCAAACAGGAUUAGAUACCCCAGUAGUC
rnacentral:rRNA from 1 species